rnacentral:tRNA from 1 species
UGUGUAGGGGUGUUGUGAUGCACGUGGAAUUUUGACUUCUAAGGUUGGAGUUUGAUUCUCCAUUAUACAA